UACGUACAAUGCAAGCGUUGUCCGGAAUUAUUGGGCGUAAAGAGCUCGUAAACGGUCUGUCGCGUCGGAUGUGAAAAUCCAAGGCUCAACCCUGGACCUGCAUUCGAUACGGGCAGACUGGAGGUAUGCAGGGGAGAACGGAAUUCCUGGUGUAGCGGUGAAAUGCGCAGAUAUCAGGAGGAACACCGGUGGCGAAGGCGGUUCUCUGGGCAUGUCCUGACGCUGAGGAGCGAAAGUGUGGGGAGCGAACAGG
rnacentral:rRNA from 1 species